rnacentral:ncRNA from 1 species
CGCCUGUCGGGACCCGAAAGAUGGUGAACUAUGCCUGAGCGGGGCGAAGCCAGAGGAAACUCUGGUGGAGGCUCGAAGCGAUACUGACGAACAAAUCGUUCGUCUGACUUGGGUAUAGGGGCGAAAGACUAAUCGAACCAUCUAGUAGCUGGUUCCCUCCGAAGUUUCCCUCAGGAUAGCUGGAGCCCAUUACGAGUUCUAUCAGGUAAAGCCAAUGAUUAGAGGC